rnacentral:lncRNA from 1 species
GCUACUCCUGCAGCAACCAGGAAUGGCACAACCUGCAGUGCCCUCUUACGCUGGACAGGUAUAUGUCAAAAACUGGAAUUGGUAGAGAUUCUUUGCCAUGUAUUACUCCUAGUUCAGGGAAGGAACACCAGUGUGCAAACUCUUCCUGACCAGCUGGCAGGAACCAAGAAGAUGCCAAUGCCAGUUCUAGCUAUAAUGUUUAGGUCCUGAAAUGGAGAAGGGGAGUUAACAAAAGUGAAGACACUGACCACCUUUUGAUUUUCAGGAGACUGGAGAGAUGACGGAGAAGUUAAGAACAUGUACUACUUUUGAAGAAGACCC